UACAGAGGGUGCAAGCGUUGUUCGGAAUUAUUGGGCGUAAAGCGCGUGUAGGCGGCUUUGCAAGUCGGGUGUGAAAGCCCUCAGCUUAACUGAGGAAGUGCGCCCGAAACUAUGUCGCUAGAGUGCCGGAGAGGGUGGCGGAAUUCCCGGUGUAGAGGUGAAAUUCGUAGAUAUCGGGAGGAACACCAGUGGCGAAGGCGGCCACCUGGACGGACACUGACGCUGAGACGCGAAAGCGUGGGGAGCGAACAGG
rnacentral:rRNA from 1 species